rnacentral:rRNA from 1 species
AGCAGCCGCCACGGUAAUACGUAGGUGGCAAGCGUUGUCCGGAAUUAUUGGGCGUAAAGGGCUCGCAGGCGGUUUCUUAAGUCUGAUGUGAAAGCCCCCGGCUCAACCGGGGAGGGUCAUUGGAAACUGGGAAACUUGAGUGCAGAAGAGGAGAGUGGAAUUCCACGUGUAGCGGUGAAAUGCGUAGAGAUGUGGAGGAACAUCAGUGGCGAAGGCGACUCUCUGGUCUGUAACUGACGCUGAGGAGCGAAAGCGUGGGGAGCGAACAGGAUUAGAUACCCCUGUAGUCCCUGUCUCUUAUAC